rnacentral:ncRNA from 2 species
UUAAACCACUAGGGGAGCCAAUUGGCUGAGAUUAAGGCGCGUGCUUUAGACCCUUUGAACCUGAACUAUGUAAUCAUAGCGGAGGGAAGUGGCAUCAUAAACAA